GAUGAACGCUGGCGGCAUGCCUAAUACAUGCAAGUCGAGCGAAUGGAUUAAGAGCUUGCUCUUAUGAAGUUAGCGGCGGACGGGUGAGUAACACGUGGGUAACCUGCCCAUAAGACUGGGAUAACUCCGGGAAACCGGGGCUAAUACCGGAUAACAUUUUGAACCGCAUGGUUCGAAAUUGAAAGGCGGCUUCGGCUGUCACUUAUGGGUGGACCCGCGUUGCAUUAGCUAGUUGGUGAGGUAACGGCGCACCAAGGCAACGAUGCGUAGCCGACCUGAGAGGGUGAUCGGCCACACUGGGACUGAGACACGGCCCAGACUCCUACGGGAGGCAGCAGUAGGGAAUCUUCCGCAAUGGACGAAAGUCUGACGGAGCAACGCCGCGUGAGUGAUGAAGGCUUUCGGGUCGUAAAACUCUGUUGUUAGGGAAGAACAAGUGCUAGUUGAAUAAGCUGGCACCUUGACGGUACCUAACCAGAAAGCCACGGCUAACUACGUGCCAGCCGCCGCAGUAA
rnacentral:rRNA from 1 species